AGCGAACGCUGGCGGCAGGCUUAACACAUGCAAGUCGAACGCCCCGCAAGGGGAGUGGCAGACGGGUGAGUAACACGUGGGAACGUACCCUUUGGUUCGGAAUAACUUGGGGAAACUCAAGCUAAUACCGGAUAAGCCCUUAUGGGGAAAGGUUUACUGCCGAAGGAUCGGCCCGCGUCUGAUUAGCUAGUUGGUGAGGUAAUGGCUCACCAAGGCGACGAUCAGUAGCUGGUCUGAGAGGAUGAUCAGCCACACUGGGACUGAGACACGGCCCAGACUCCUACGGGCGGCAGCAGUGGGGAAUAUUGGACAAUGGGGGCAACCCUGAUCCAGCCAUGCCGCGUGAGUGAUGAAGGCCUUAGGGUUGUAAAGCUCUUUUACCCGGUACGAUAAUGACUGUACCGGGAGAAUAAGCCCCGGCUAACUUCGUGCCAGCCGCCGCUGUAA
rnacentral:rRNA from 1 species